rnacentral:misc_RNA from 1 species
AACCUAGCACACCUGCGGUGUGUACCUGCGGAGGGAUCACUACCUAGAGUUGUAGGCUUUGCCUGCUAUCUCUUACCCAUGUCUUUUGAGUACCUUACGUUUCCUCGGUGGGCUCGCCCACCGAUUGGACAAAUUUAAACCCUUUGCAGUUGAAAUCAGCGUCUGAAAAAACUUAAUAGUUACAACUUUUAACAAUGGAUCU